rnacentral:rRNA from 1 species
UCGAACGAGUUCUGAUUAUUGAAAGGUGCUUGCAUCUUGAUUUAAUUUUGAACGAGUGGCGGACGGGUGAGUAACACGUGGGUAACCUGCCCUUAAGUGGGGGAUAACAUUUGGAAACAGAUGCUAAUACCGCAUAAAUCCAAGAACCGCAUGGUUCUUGGCUGAAAGAUGGCGUAAGCUAUCGCUUUUGGAUGGACCCGCGGCGUAUUAGCUAGUUGGUGAGGUAACGGCUCACCAAGGCAAUGAUACGUAGCCGAACUGAGAGGUUGAUCGGCCACAUUGGGACUGAGACACGGCCCAAACUCCUACGGGAGGCAGCAGUAGGGAAUCUUCCACAAUGGACGCAAGUCUGAUGGAGCAACGCCGCGUGAGUGAAGAAGGCUUUCGGGUCGUAAAACUCUGUUGUUGGAGAAGAAUGGUCGGCAGAGUAACUGUUGUCGGCGUGACGGUAUCCAACCAGAAAGCCACGGCUAACUACGUGCCAGCAGCCGCGGUAAUACGUAGGUGGCAAGCGUUAUCCGGAUUUAUUGGGCGUAAAGCGAGCGCAGGCGGUUUUUUAAGUCUGAUGUGAAAGCCCUCGGCUUAACCGAGGAAGUGCAUCGGAAACUGGGAAACUUGAGUGCAGAAGAGGACAGUGGAACUCCAUGUGUAGCGGUGAAAUGCGUAGAUAUAUGGAAGAACACCAGUGGCGAAGGCGGCUGUCUGGUCUGUAACUGACGCUGAGGCUCGAAAGCAUGGGUAGCGAACAGGAUUAGAUACCCUGGUAGUCCAUGCCGUAAACGAUGAAUGCUAGGUGUUGGAGGGUUUCCGCCCUUCAGUGCCGCAGCUAACGCAUUAAGCAUUCCGCCUGGGGAGUACGACCGCAAGGUUGAAACUCAAAGGAAUUGACGGGGGCCCGCACAAGCGGUGGAGCAUGUGGUUUAAUUCGAAGCAACGCGAAGAACCUUACCAGGUCUUGACAUCUUUUGAUCACCUGAGAGAUCAGGUUUCCCCUUCGGGGGCAAAAUGACAGGUGGUGCAUGGUUGUCGUCAGCUCGUGUCGUGAGAUGUUGGGUUAAGUCCCGCAACGAGCGCAACCCUUAUGACUAGUUGCCAGCAUUUAGUUGGGCACUCUAGUAAGACUGCCGGUGACAAACCGGAGGAAGGUGGGGAUGACGUCAAAUCAUCAUGCCCCUUAUGACCUGGGCUACACACGUGCUACAAUGGAUGGUACAACGAGUUGCGAGACCGCGAGGUCAAGCUAAUCUCUUAAAGCCAUUCUCAGUUCGGACUGUAGGCUGCAACUCGCCUACACGAAGUCGGAAUCGCUAGUAAUCGCGGAUCAGCACGCCGCGGUGAAUACGUUCCCGGGCCUUGUACACACCGCCCGUCACACCAUGAGAGUUUGUAACACCCGAAGCCGGUGGCGUAACC